AAUGAACGUUGGCGGCGUGGAUUAGGCAUGCAAGUCGUACGAGAAUCGUAGCAAUACGAGGAAAGUGGCGGAAGGGAGAGGAUUACGUGGGAAUCUACCCUCAGAACUGGGAUAGCGGCGGGAAACUGCCGGUAAUACCAGAUAAUGUCUGUGGACCAAAGGUGUGAUUCCGUCUGGGGAUGAGCCCACGUCCUAUUAGCUAGUUGGCAGGGUAAUGGCCUACCAAGGCAAUGAUGGGUAGCGGGUGUGAGAGCAUGACCCGCCUCACUGGGACUGAGAACUGCCCAGACACCUACGGGUGGCUGCAGUCGAGAAUCUUCGGCAAUGAGCGCAAGCUUGACCGAGCGACGCCGCGUGCGGGAUGAAGGCCUUCGGGUUGUAAACCGCUGUCGUAGGGGAGCAAGAGAUGAGGGUACUCCCUCUGAUUUGAGCGAUCCUAGGAGGAAGGACGGGCUAAGUCCGUGCCAGCCGCCGCCGUAACAC
rnacentral:rRNA from 1 species